UUCAGUAGCUGGUCUGAGAGGAUGAUCAGCCACAUUGGGAUUUAGACACGGCCCAAACUCUUACGGGAGGCAGCAGAGGGGAAUCUUGCGCAAUGGGCGAAAGCCUGACGCAGCCAUGCCGCGUGAAUGAUGAAGGUCUUAGGAUUGUAAAAUUCUUUCACCGGGGACGAUAAUGACGGUACCCGGAGAAGAAGCCCCGGCUAACUUC
rnacentral:rRNA from 1 species